rnacentral:rRNA from 1 species
UAAGACAGAGGUGGCAAGCGUUGUUCGGAUUUACUGGGCUUAAAGGGCGCGUAGGCGGUACGGUAAGUCUGAGGUGGAAUCCCAGGGCUCAACCCUGGAAUUGCCUUGGAUACUGCCGCACUUGAGUCAGUGAGAGGAGGGCGGAAUUCCUGGUGUAGCAGUGAAAUGCGUAGAUAUCAGGAGGAAGGCCCGUGGCGAAGGCGGCCCUCUGGCGCUUGACUGACGCUGAGGCGCGAAAGCGUGGGGAGCAAACAGGAUUAGAUACCCUGGUAGUCCACGCCCUAAACGGUGUGCAUUAGGUGUAGGGUCCGUUUGGAUUCUGUGCCGUAGGGAAACCAUUAAAUGCACCGCCUGGGGAGUACGGUCGCAAGAUUA